CUUUAUUUCCUUCACAGUAUUUUUCACAAUUUGUAAUUAUUAUGUGUAACUUGUUUUCUUGUCUGUCUAAACCUUUAACUUUUUGAGGGCAGGGAAUGUGGAUGCCAAUAUCUUAAGAGCUCAGAACAGUGUAUCUUUGUGUCUUUACAGCCUGACACAUUUUUGUUGAGUCAAUUGACAAAAGAACUGACACCAGAUGGCCAAUCAACUCAAGAGAAACUUUCAUGGAGACGAUAUGGUUCAAUCAUCUCUUCAAAGACUUUCCAGCUAAAAUUUGAAUUAUAAAGGAGGCCUCACAGUGGGAAACUAACUCAUUAUUUCACAGAUACUCCAGGAUAAUGAGGACAUGUGACAAAUACCAAAUUAACAUGAUGGACAUCAGAAGAGGACAUCUUGGGACAAAGGUCCAGCUUUGAAGAAAAAUAUUUUUGUAUAAAUUUUGUGUAGCCCAAGUAAACAGUGUUGAUAAAAUCUACAGUAGUGUGGUCAUGUCCUGGGGCCUCACAUUCACUCACCACUCACUGACUCACCCAGAGCAACUGCCAGUCCUGCACGUUCCAUUCAUGGGUCUGUCGGUUCUGAAGCAAUGAUCUGAUAUUGUUUUUACAUCCCUGGGACCGAUGAGGGAGAAAAAUUUAUUUACAAAAUGGACCAAGCUCUGCCCUCACUUACAGACAAGUCAAAGCAGCCAGAGGCCUCCUGUUCACACUCAGGUACCUGGGGGCAGGAUUGGUUCUGGUCUAGAACUCAAAAGAGUUGACAACCAACGGAAGCCCAGAGUAGUGAAUGGGCCCACUUUAGAG